GGUCCCAUAGCUCAGUUGGUUAGAGCGUCGUACUAAUGUUAAUCCGAUUCAGGGUUUAUAUCAAGUAAAUGCGAAGGCCGGCGGUUCGAGCCCGCCUGGGACCA